UACGAAGGGGGCUAGCGUUGCUCGGAUUGACUGGGCGUAAAGGGCGCGUAGGCGGUUCGUACAGUCAGACGUGAAAUUCCUGGGCUCAACCUGGGGGCUGCGUUUGAUACGUGCGGACUUGAGUGCGGAAGAGGGUCGCGGAAUUCCCGGUGUAGAGGUGAAAUUCGUAGAUAUCAAGAGGAACACCUGAGGUGAAGACGGGUUGCUGGGCUGACACUGACGCUGAGGCACGAAAGCGUGGGGAUCAAACAGG
rnacentral:rRNA from 1 species